GCCUUCAUGGUAUAAUGGUCAGUACACUCGGCGCGUAUUUCGAGAGACCCAGGUUCGAAUCCCAGAGGAGGCA
rnacentral:tRNA from 1 species